rnacentral:lncRNA from 1 species
AUCCUUUAGUCAUUUCAAUUACGGCGCUAUUUAGCCUAAAGCUUAAACGACAGAUUUUUUGUUAUAAUCUUUUGUUAAUUCUUAUCGUAUUAUUUCAUUGUCAUUUAGUUAUCUCCUUUCUAUUAAAAAAUUGUCACCAUGUAAUUUCUUGAUUUAAAUAUGUUUUCUGAAGUUUGUAACUUCAGUGAGAGUCGGGCAUUCGUACUGACAACAUCCGCU